rnacentral:rRNA from 1 species
UACAGAGGGGGCCAGCGUUAAUCGGAAUCACUGGGCGUAAAGCGCGCGUAGGCGGUCUGUUAAGUGGGAUGUGAAAUCCCCGGGCUUAACCUGGGAAUUGCAUUCCAAACUGGCGGACUAGAGUGCGGUAGAGGGAGGUAGAAUUUCCUGUGUAGCGGUGAAAUGCGUAGAUAUAGGAAGGAAUACCAGUGGCGAAGGCGGCCUCCUGGAUCGACACUGACGCGGAGGCGCGAAAGCGUGGGGAGCAAACAGG